rnacentral:rRNA from 1 species
UACGUAGGGAGCAAGCGUUGUCCGGAUUUAUUGGGCGUAAAGCGCACGCAGGUGGUUCGAUGCGUCGUGCGUGAAAGCCCCCGGCUCAACUGGGGAGUGUCGUGCGAUACGGUCGAACUGGAGGCCAGUAGGGGGAUGCGGAAUUCCGGGUGUAGUGGUGGAAUGCGUAGAGAUCCGGAGGAACACCAGCGGCGAAGGCGGCAUCCUGGACUGGUCCUGACACUCAUGAGCGAAAGCGUGGGGAGCGAUCCGG